GCGAGCGCUUAAAGCCUGUGAUAUGCAGAGUAUGCAAUCAGGGCUGCUUCCACGCCACAUGCGGGGGGUGGGGAGCCACACAACAGAUUCAUACCCAUAGCAAAUCAACGUCCCUUUUCAGAUCGGAAAGGGAGAGUGUGGGAUAAAGGAGGAGGAAGAAAGAGAGGGAGAGAGAAAGAGGCAGAGAGAGAAAGACAGAGAGGACCUCUUCCAAGAUUAAAGCCAUUCUUAAGAGCAGCGGCUAUACUCCAUGGCUGACUUGGCCGGGACUCGACGAAAAGCGCGUCUGGUGUCUUUCUUUGCUAUUGGAAUGCCACCCGGAUCUCGAAGUUACCUAGAAAACGUACAAUAAAUAUAUACGGCACGGUCAGUUGCAUGGCGUUUCUGUGUCUGCGAAGAGGCUUAAAAUAAAGAGGCAGAAUAAUCCCACCCCAUCCCUCUAAAUCGGCUAAUUCUCAGGACUGGCCAGCUGAGAC